rnacentral:rRNA from 1 species
AACGAACGCUGGCGGCAUGCCUAACACAUGCAAGUCGAACGAGACCUUCGGGUCUAGUGGCGCACGGGUGCGUAACGCGUGGGAACCUGCCCUUAGGUUCGGAAUAACUCCCCGAAAGGGGUGCUAAUACCGGAUCAUGUCUUCGGACCAAGGAUUUAUCGCCUUUGGAUGGGCCCGCGUUGGAUUAGCUAGUUGGUAGGGUAAAAGCCUACCAAGGCGACGAUCCAUAGCUGGUCUGAGAGGAUGAUCAGCCACACUGGGACUGAGACACGGCCCAGACUCCUACGGGAGGCAGCAGUGGGGAAUAUUGGACAAUGGGCGAAAGCCUGAUCCAGCAAUGACGCGUGAGUGAUGAAGGCCUUAGGGUUGUAAAGCUCUUUUACCCGGGAUGAUAAUGACAGUACCGGGAGAAUAAGCUCCGGCUAACUCCGUG